CACUUGGAAACAGGUGCUAAUACCGGAUAACAACAAUAGCUGCAUGGCUAUUGCUUAAAAGGCGGCGAAAGCUGUCGCUAAAGGAUGGACCCGCGGUGCAUUAGCUAGUUGGUAAGGUAAUGGCUUACCAAGGCGACGAUGCAUAGCCGAGUUGAGAGACUGAUCGGCCACAUUGGGACUGAGACACGGCCCAAACUCCUACGGGAGGCAGCAGUAGGGAAUCUUCCACAAUGGGCGAAAGCCUGAUGGAGCAACGCCGCGUGAGUGAAGAAGGUUUUCGGAUCGUAAAGCUCUGUUGUUGGUGAAGAAGGAUAGAGGUAGUAACUGGCCCCUAUUUGACGGUAAUCAACCAGAAAGUCACGGCUAACUACGUGCCAGCAGCCCCGGUAAUACGUAGGUGGCAAGCGUUGUCCGGAUUUAUUGGGCGUAAAGCGAGCGCAGGCGGAAAGAUAAGUCUGAUGUGAAAGCCCCCGGCUUAACCGAGGAAUUGCAUCGGAAACUGUGUUUCUUGAGUGCAGAAGAGGAGAGUGGAACUCCAUGUGUAGCGGUGGAAUGCGUAGAUAUAUGGAAGAACACCAGUGGCGAAGGCGGCUCUCUGGUCUGUAACUGACGCUGAGGCUCGAAAGCAUGGGUAGCGAACAGGAUUAGAUACCCUGGUAGUCCAUGCCGUAAACGAU
rnacentral:rRNA from 1 species